rnacentral:rRNA from 1 species
UAUACUGUGAAACUGCGAAUGGCUCAUUAAAUCAGUUAUAGUUUAUUUGAUGGUUCCUUACUACUUGGAUAACCGUAGUAAUUCUAGAGCUAAUACAUGCAGAAAGUCCCGACUUCUGGAAGGGAUGUAUUUAUUAGAUCCAAAACCAGCGCGAGUUGCCCCCGGGUGGCUCGGUUGCUUGGUGAUUCAUGAUAACUGCUCGAAUCGCAUGGCCUUGUGCCGGCGAUGAUCCAUUCAAAUUUCUGCCCUAUCAACUUUCGAUGGCAAGGUAGUGGCUUGCCAUGGUGACAACGGGUGACGGAGAAUUAGGGUUCGAUUCCGGAGAGGGAGCCUGAGAAACGGCUACCACAUCCAAGGAAGGCAGCAGGCGCGCAAAUUACCCAAUCCCGACUCGGGGAGGUAGUGACAAUAAAUAACAAUUCAAGACUCGAAACGAGGCCUUGAAGUUGGAAUGAGUACACUUUAAAACUUUUAACGAGUAUCUAUUGGAGGGCAAGUCUGGUGCCAGCAGCCGCGGUAAUUCCAGCUCCAAUAGCGUAUACUAAAGUUGUUGCGGUUAAAAAGCUCGUAGUUGGAUCUUGGAGUGUGAGUGAAUGGUCGAUCGAAAGAUUGUACUGUUCGGCACACUCUUCUCUUCGGUUGCGUGUGUAGUGCCCUUAACUGAGUGCUGCACUCGACCGGAAUUUUUACCUUGAAAAAAUUAGAGUGUUCAAAGCAGACCUGAUUAUGUCUGAAUAUUCGUGCAUGGAAUAAUAAAAU